rnacentral:lncRNA from 1 species
GUCACAUUGAAGUUCCUGCUGUUACCUUGAGCAGCUCCUUCUCUUGGCAUGCAUAGGAAGCUUCCAGCUGUUGUAACUUAACCUAAAGAAAGCAAAAGAGACUGCUAACUUGGCAAGGUAAAAGCUGUGCAGGAAUGGAAUGCUGUCACCAAGGUGGCCUCACGAGCUGUGAGGAGCCUCAGGGCCAUGACUUCACACGUCUCCUGAUAGAGGAAUUAAGCCACCCAGCACCGUUUGCAGCUGCUUGAUGGGUAUCAUUGUCUCCAUUUUACAAGUGAGGAAGCAGAGGUUCAGAGUUGCUGUCCAAGAGCAUCAUACAUACAGUGGUGCAGCGGAGAUUCAAAUUGUGAUCUGAUGAUAAGCCGAGAUCUUCCUACAACAUGAUCUCUAUUGCUCCAGAGAGAAGAACUAGGAUCAAUGACUUAAAGUUACCCAGAGAAGAGUCAGCAUAAGAAAAUUCAGCAUAAGAUGCUGAGUGAAUAUCAGGAGGAACUUUUCAUCACCUAGAGCCAGAAGCAUUCUUGAAUAUGAAAGGGCUCUGAGCCUUGCCGCUCCCACUCUCACUGCAGGUCUGCAAAUAGGAAAUGAAUGACUACCUGUCACAGAAGCUGUGAAUGUGAUAGCUGUGUUAGGGAAAAUGUUGAUCCACAUCACCUCCGAAAUCCCUUCCAAUUAGUGUACCCUUUGAGUCUGUGACAUUCUGCACCCUCAAAGAGUCUAUAUACUUCUGAGAAAAUGGGACAAAGGGGAAAGUAACUUUUUAGAAAGAAUUUUAAACAUUCGUGUUGAUUAUCAACAUCAUGCUUAUUAUAGGCAAUUUGGAAAAUUCAGGAAAGUAGUAAGAAGAAAAGAAAUGCUACACAACAACACAGUGAUAGCCACAGUGAACACUUGGUGUCUCUUCUUUCAUUUUUCUCCAUGUUUAUCAAAUUU